rnacentral:rRNA from 1 species
AUACAGAGGGUGCGAGCGUUAAUCGGAAUUACUGGGCGUAAAGCGCGCGUAGGCGGUCUAUUAAGUCAGAUGUGAAAUCCCCGGGCUCAACCUGGGAACUGCAUCUGAUACUGGUAAGCUAGAGUUUUGGAGAGGGAAGUAGAAUUUCAGGUGUAGCGGUGAAAUGCAUAGAGAUCUGAAGGAAUACCAGUGGCGAAGGCGACUUCCUGGCCAAAAACUGACGCUGAGGUGCGAAAGCGUGGGUAGCAAACGGGAUUAGAAACCCCAGUAGUCC